ACUAAGCGUACACGGUGGAUGCCCUGGCAGUCAGAGGCGAUGAAGGACGUGCUAAUCUGCGAUAAGCGUCGGUAAGGUGAUAUGAACCGUUAUAACCGGCGAUUUCCGAAUGGGGAAACCCAGUGUGUUUCGACACACUAUCAUUAACUGAAUCCAUAGGUUAAUGAGGCGAACCGGGGGAACUGAAACAUCUAAGUACCCCGAGGAAAAGAAAUCAACCGAGAUUCCCCCAGUAGCGGCGAGCGAACGGGGAGCAGCCCAGAGCCUGAAUCAGUAUGUGUGUUAGUGGAAGCGUCUGGAAAGGCGCGCGAUACAGGGUGACAGCCCCGUACACAAAAAUGCACAUAUUGUGAGCUCGAUGAGUAGGGCGGGACACGUGGUAUCCUGUCUGAAUAUGGGGGGACCAUCCUCCAAGGCUAAAUACUCCUGACUGACCGAUAGUGAACCAGUACCGUGAGGGAAAGGCGAAAAGAACCCCGGCGAGGGGAGUGAAAAAGAACCUGAAACCGUGUACGUACAAGCAGUGGGAGCACGCUUAGGCGUGUGACUGCGUACCUUUUGUAUAAUGGGUCAGCGACUUAUAUUCUGUAGCAAGGUUAACCGAAUAGGGGAGCCGAAGGGAAACCGAGUCUUAACUGGGCGUUAAGUUGCAGGGUAUAGACCCGAAACCCGGUGAUCUAGCCAUGGGCAGGUUGAAGGUUGGGUAACACUAACUGGAGGACCGAACCGACUAAUGUUGAAAAAUUAGCGGAUGACUUGUGGCUGGGGGUGAAAGGCCAAUCAAACCGGGAGAUAGCUGGUUCUCCCCGAAAGCUAUUUAGGUAGCGCCUCGUGAAUUCAUCUCCGGGGGUAGAGCACUGUUUCGGCAAGGGGGUCAUCCCGACUUACCAACCCGAUGCAAACUGCGAAUACCGGAGAAUGUUAUCACGGGAGACACACGGCGGGUGCUAACGUCCGUCGUGAAGAGGGAAACAACCCAGACCGCCAGCUAAGGUCCCAAAGUCAUGGUUAAGUGGGAAACGAUGUGGGAAGGCCCAGACAGCCAGGAUGUUGGCUUAGAAGCAGCCAUCAUUUAAAGAAAGCGUAAUAGCUCACUGGUCGAGUCGGCCUGCGCGGAAGAUGUAACGGGGCUAAACCAUGCACCGAAGCUGCGGCAGCGACACUAUGUGUUGUUGGGUAGGGGAGCGUUCUGUAAGCCUGUGAAGGUGUGCUGUGAGGCAUGCUGGAGGUAUCAGAAGUGCGAAUGCUGACAUAAGUAACGAUAAAGCGGGUGAAAAGCCCGCUCGCCGGAAGACCAAGGGUUCCUGUCCAACGUUAAUCGGGGCAGGGUGAGUCGACCCCUAAGGCGAGGCCGAAAGGCGUAGUCGAUGGGAAACAGGUUAAUAUUCCUGUACUUGGUGUUACUGCGAAGGGGGGACGGAGAAGGCUAUGUUGGCCGGGCGACGGUUGUCCCGGUUUAAGCGUGUAGGCUGGUUUUCCAGGCAAAUCCGGAAAAUCAAGGCUGAGGCGUGAUGACGAGGCACUACGGUGCUGAAGCAACAAAUGCCCUGCUUCCAGGAAAAGCCUCUAAGCAUCAGGUAACAUCAAAUCGUACCCCAAACCGACACAGGUGGUCAGGUAGAGAAUACCAAGGCGCUUGAGAGAACUCGGGUGAAGGAACUAGGCAAAAUGGUGCCGUAACUUCGGGAGAAGGCACGCUGAUAUGUAGGUGAAGUCCCUCGCGGAUGGAGCUGAAAUCAGUCGAAGAUACCAGCUGGCUGCAACUGUUUAUUAAAAACACAGCACUGUGCAAACACGAAAGUGGACGUAUACGGUGUGACGCCUGCCCGGUGCCGGAAGGUUAAUUGAUGGGGUUAGCCGCAAGGCGAAGCUCUUGAUCGAAGCCCCGGUAAACGGCGGCCGUAACUAUAACGGUCCUAAGGUAGCGAAAUUCCUUGUCGGGUAAGUUCCGACCUGCACGAAUGGCGUAAUGAUGGCCAGGCUGUCUCCACCCGAGACUCAGUGAAAUUGAACUCGCUGUGAAGAUGCAGUGUACCCGCGGCAAGACGGAAAGACCCCGUGAACCUUUACUAUAGCUUGACACUGAACAUUGAGCCUUGAUGUGUAGGAUAGGUGGGAGGCUUUGAAGUGUGGACGCCAGUCUGCAUGGAGCCGACCUUGAAAUACCACCCUUUAAUGUUUGAUGUUCUAACGUUGACCCGUAAUCCGGGUUGCGGACAGUGUCUGGUGGGUAGUUUGACUGGGGCGGUCUCCUCCUAAAGAGUAACGGAGGAGCACGAAGGUUGGCUAAUCCUGGUCGGACAUCAGGAGGUUAGUGCAAUGGCAUAAGCCAGCUUGACUGCGAGCGUGACGGCGCGAGCAGGUGCGAAAGCAGGUCAUAGUGAUCCGGUGGUUCUGAAUGGAAGGGCCAUCGCUCAACGGAUAAAAGGUACUCCGGGGAUAACAGGCUGAUACCGCCCAAGAGUUCAUAUCGACGGCGGUGUUUGGCACCUCGAUGUCGGCUCAUCACAUCCUGGGGCUGAAGUAGGUCCCAAGGGUAUGGCUGUUCGCCAUUUAAAGUGGUACGCGAGCUGGGUUUAGAACGUCGUGAGACAGUUCGGUCCCUAUCUGCCGUGGGCGCUGGAGAACUGAGGGGGGCUGCUCCUAGUACGAGAGGACCGGAGUGGACGCAUCACUGGUGUUCGGGUUGUCAUGCCAAUGGCACUGCCCGGUAGCUAAAUGCGGAAGAGAUAAGUGCUGAAAGCAUCUAAGCACGAAACUUGCCCCGAGAUGAGUUCUCCCUGACUCCUUGAGAGUCCUGAAGGAACGUUGAAGACGACGACGUUGAUAGGCCGGGUGUGUAAGCGCAGCGAUGCGUUGAGCUAACCGGUACUAAUGAACCGUGAGGCUUAACC
rnacentral:rRNA from 1 species